AACUUUUAACAACGGAUCUCUUGGCUCUCGCAUCGAUGAAGAACGCAGCAAAGCGCGAAAUGUAGUGUGAAUUGCAGAAUUCAGUGAAUCAUCGAAUCUUUGAACGCACCUUGCGCUCCCGGGCUAUUCCUGGGAGCAUGUUCGUUGGAGUGUCGCGUACCUCUCAACCCCGUCCUCGUCAAGAGGAUCGUCUAGGGUUGGAUCGUGGCCCUUGUGCUCUUCGGACCACUGGGCUGAAAUGCAAGAAGCUGUACCUUUGUUACUGGCGGCUUGACCUGUUGUCGUAAAUCUUAAUUCAACGGGGAUCGUCGGUCGGGAUGGGCUUACCAUAAACCAAAAUUUGAUACUUUGACCUCCAAUCGAGCAGGACUACCCCCUGAACUUAAGCAUAUCAAUAAGCGGAGGCU
rnacentral:misc_RNA from 1 species